CCGACUCACCCCCUUCAGUAGAAGAAAUCUUCGUCAAAGGGACCGAUUCACCACAACCUUUUGAAGACCCAUCUCCCUCACCCCCUUAGUUUGAAGAAAUCUCUGUGAAAGAUCAACUAUGGCAUCGAGUCAAUCAUCAUCAUGUGCAGUUAAUGAUCUUGAAAUAGAAUCACCGAGUUGUUGGUGUGGUUUGAAAGCGCCAUUAAAAAUCUCCCACACCCACAAAAAUCCUGGAAGGAAAUUUUAUGCUUGUCCGAAUUAUGGAAUGGUAAAUAAUUUUCCAAUUUUUUUAUUAGUCUUGAAUGAAUGUAGAAAAAUAUUUAUACAUGAAGAUUGAAAUUCUUGAAUUG